UGUAGUGCUUUCCAAUUGGAGUACAGUGCGGCAUGUUGUGUCUCCCGAACGUGCUGUACGCCAGGGAUACCAAAAUUUCGAGUCAAGUUUUUUUUUCUGAAAGCGGCAUCAUUGAGUUCUUUCGUUGUUUUCAAAUUUUCCUCGCAGAAUAGAAAAACACAAUACCAGGUACAACCGUGCGAGUGAAAACGAGAUGAACAGUAAUACAAUGCAAGAGUGAGUCCUUUCAAUCGAAUAUCGUCAUAACGAAUCUAGAUAUUUACAAAUGAAGGAUUCGUCAUGGAGCCAAAGUACAAAAGAUGUCAGUGGAUCAAGUUCGGUGGAAAUUCAAUUGCCUCCGUCAAAAAUACAAGGAAUAAACAAGACAACCGAUUUCGGUCGUUCUUGUAGUCGUUUCGACCAAAAUCCUGGUCGUACAAUCUGCUAGAGCGAUAACAAAAAGAGCGGUUGAGCACAUAUGACUUUUGAUUUUUAUAAUGAAAAUGGACGAAGUUUGCAACGUAGGCAGAAGUGGUAUUGAUCUAGACCCCUUCGUGAAACAGGAUCAAUUAGGGUAAAAACAAACGUUGAUUUGGCAAAUUAUUACCUCGAGCAUUUAAAAACAACAGAAGAACAACAAAAAUCUCGGGAUGAAAAAAUUGACUAUAUGAAGAUUCGAGCAGAUUCUCUGUUGUUAAAAAAAAUGAGAAUUGAAAUUUCGUGAGAAAGAGAAAGAGAAAAGGCAAUAACGAAUAAAAUGCUCAAAUUGAAGGACUCAAACGAAGAACCAAUGAAAAUUGAGAAACAAAAGUGUUAUUUACUACAGAAACUGCUAAAUAGAGAAAAUUUCGAUUCUGAUUGAGCCAAGUUAAAUAUCUUUGUACCAAUAGUACAAACACAAAAUGAUGUUAUGCCACAGGCCUUAUUCAAUCCGAAAAUGAGUAUUAUAGUUUUCUUGAACUUUAAAUAUUGCAAUAAGUUGUGAAGGAACCAAAUAUUAAUGUAAGUAAAAAUUUAUUAUUCUGUUGAAAUAAUAAUGGAAUAUGCCAGUUUCAAAACUGUUUAAUAAUAAGUAUAACAGAUAACAAUUGUGUAUUGAAUUAAUGAAGCAUUCAUUGUAUUUGGUAUCAAAAUUACAUUUCCAUUUAUAUAUCUAUUUAUAUAGAUUCAUUUAUAUAAUAAUAUGUACUUCAUGUACUAAUGUGUACUCAAGAUAAUCAUCUUGCAUGUGUAAAUUUGCGUUUUUGGGAUCAUUUGGUAGUUCUCCAUGAAAGAUAUCACUCGCAUCAAUACAGUAAUUAUGUAAAAUGCAUGCUGCGACAACAAUUUUGUUGAUAAUUGAUAUAUUUCUGUAUUCAAUGAAAAAUUUGAUUUGACGAAAUCUUCCCUUCAACAUACCAACUGUCUUUUCAAUCAUCAUUCGAGUAAAUGAAUUCAAAAAGUUGAAUUCUUUUUCUCGCGAAGUUAAAUGCCCAUUAUUCCGAAAUAAUGGAACAAGCUAUGACAAUGAUGGGUAUGCUGAAUCCCCGAUUAAAAAAGUACUGUGUGGAAAAAAAGUUGUCUACAUCAUCAGUAAUCUCUUCAUAUAAUGAAGGAACUCGAGCGUCGUGCAAAGAACCCGGUUCACUACAAUACACAUUUGUAAACCCUAUAUUUGAAUCGGCCACAGCUUGUAGGAUGACUACAAUAAGAUAUUGAGUUCAUUGAAGGCUUCUCGAUGUGUAUGUGGGUACAAUCGUAAAAUUGAUUGCACCAACAACGUUUGAAAUUGAUUUCUUAUUAUAGAAGCCAUUACUUAUUGCCGUAAAUUCAUGACGAGUUUGCGACCAUCUGAUAUAGCAGUAUUAAAUUUUAUUAAAAUCCAGGUAAGUUCUCGUCAAAUUAUGCGAAAUUUCGAAGCGGUCAACAAUCGUUCGCAAUGGUUCAGUAUUAGCCAUGAACCACAGAAAUAAUAGAAAACAGACUUUUCCGCUGAUUGACUUAAUCUCAAAUGUAUUGUGGGAAAUAAAUGCUGAUCUUUCGAUUUCAUCUGCAAAAAUAAAAUAUGCAGUGAUUAUUAUAUUGGUAUUAUUUGAUGUAUUGUCAUUUUUCAUCAAUUAGUUUCUAUAACAAUAGAUAUAUAUACAAUGUAGUUUAAAAAAUAGCGAUUGUGAGAUUAUUACCAAUCAAUUGAUUUGCUGUAGCACGUUGUAAUCGGAAGAACUCUUUGAACUGCAAAUCUGGCCAAGAUUAUAAAAUUUUGAGAUAGCUCUCGACACGAUCGCCUACAUCCUGUAGUUAAAUAUUGAAGUAGUGAAAAAUAUAAUGUGUCGUUGUUGUCGUCAAUCUCGAAUACCCAGCUGCCAUUUGAUGAUGUGAAAUUCGAGGCACUUGGAGAAUCUCUAUUAUUAGAGGUAAAAAUCUCACUGCUUGGUUGUAAAGUAUCCAUUAAAAAGAAUUUUACUCAGCGAUUAGAUAUCUAUAGAAUUACAAAAUAUGUAUAAGCACUAUUGCUCAGUUAACCAUUCACCAUUUUUCACCAUUUUGAAUUUUGGAAAUCUGAUGUCAAAUUCGUAAUCAGCGACCCCAAAAACCAUGGGGUACCAAAUUUCAAUCGAAUCGGUGUAGUAGAAAUAUGUUUUUUUUUUCAAAUGCCCCCAUAUGUGUCAUGACACAAAAAUGGCACGACUUUUUUUGCCCCUAUGUGUGUCACUCACAGUGAAGGGGUUAAAGUUGGGAAGGAAACGAGCAUAAUUGUGCCUCACAGUACCGUUUAAUUGGAAAGCACACCUAGAGUUCAGUGCAGUGACAUAUCGCGCAAUGCCAUCUGGCAUUGCGCGGCGUUUCUUUCAUGGUCCACCAAUUUCUAGCGUUGAAAAUAUAACCGCAUAAAUGCCUACUUUUGGAAAAACCGCAUUAUUGUGUUCUUUUUUCAAAUACAUCAUUCAGGAAAAUACGGAAA
rnacentral:lncRNA from 1 species